rnacentral:rRNA from 1 species
AAUCAACGCUGGCGGCGUGCCUAACACAUGCAAGUCGAGCGGGAAAGGGGGCUUCGGUCCCUGAGUAUAGCGGCGGACGGGUGAGUAACACGUGGGUAAUUUGCCCUUGGGUGUGGAAUAACUCAGGGAAACUUGAGCUAAUACCGCAUGACAUCCCCUUCACACACGAGUUGGGGAUCAAAGCCGGGGACCCUUCGGGGCCUGGCGCCUGAGGAGAAGCCCGCGCCCGAUUAGCUAGUUGGGAGGUAAUGGCUCACCAAGGCUUCGAUCGGUAGCCGGCCUGAGAGGGCGGACGGCCACACUGGGACUGAGACACGGCCCAGACUCCUACGGGAGGCAGCAGUGGGGAAUAUUGGACAAUGGGCGCAAGCCUGAUCCAGCGAUGCCGCGUGUGUGAAG